GGUAAAAUGGUCAUUUCGUCCUAAUUCCUCUCUCUUUCAUACUCUUCUCCCCUUUUCCAGAAGCUUCAGCCCAUUGUUGGGUUCUCUUCAUACUUCCUCCUUCGUCUUUUCUUCUUUCACUGCGUUUCCUGGGUUCUUUUCAUACAUUCUGAUUUUGCAAUUUCAUAAUUGUUCUGAGCUAAAUCUGAGGGUAUGACUUGAACAGAUAACCAUAAAGAAACAUAUCAUGGUGUAGUUCUAAUUCUUUGGCUGUGUGCCUCUACUUUGGAUUUUCCCAAAACUUUCUACCUUAUUGAAUAAAUCGCUCGCUAUUUUCAUCUUCCAGUUCGUCCGUUUGUAUUUCACCCUGCUGCCUUUUUCGCACCACUGGCAACCAUUUGUUGGAAUUUUUUUUCCUUUUACUUUAUGUUAUCUAAUUAUUUUUCUUCCUACUUUUCUAAUUUUCUCAAUUUCAUCAUUUUAUUCUUUUCCUUUUGCCUCUUCUGCCUAUGUAACAAUGCCUGGGUAGCAGAUUUUUUUCCUAUGAUAAAAUGGAGCUUGGAUGGUAGAAGCCCCAUAUUUUAUGGGAAUGGAUACGAAAUAGUAUUGUUCUUUAACUGGGUAUUUUGAGUGUUUAUGUAUGCCCAAACCUCAACGAGAUUUUAGUAUGCCUUUCUCCUGCUGAAAUUGCCCAAUUGCAUCGGGAGACUGAAGAGAAUGCCGCUUUUCAUUGUCUCCCAGUUCAAAUUUUCUUCUUCAUCUGCGGCAGCUGGUAAAACGAGAAAGUCAAUGCGCUCACAUAGCAAAGGUAUAUAGGAUCUUGGCGGCCGAGAACGAUGAUAACCAAUGACACUGUUAACAGGUAGGGAUAAAGAAUCUACAUGAAGGAAUUAGACCAAGUGUAAUACAUCGUGACAAACAAGUUACAACCAAGCAACAAAUUGGUAGAAAUGUUUGAUGAUAAGGUCUCAAGAUUCAGGCCUGUAAAAUCAGAACUUCCUUCGAAGCACUCAGACAUUAGCAGUUAGAUUCAAGGCAAUUUGAGUAUUACACUGAUAUCUUGAUGUCUACUGCUAUAAUGUUAUACUAUAGUAGUUUGUUGUUGCUAGAACUGUGACGGAGAAAAGUAGAGGUUAAUCUUACUUAUCACAUUAUUAUUUAUGUAUUGGCUAAGGAGAGUUGUAAGGCGUUAUAUUCGGCAACUAACAUGUAAUAUGAAAGAGCAUUUUCCAUUUGAUUAACGAGGAAGAUUGGGGAAGUUGGUAUUGGUGUAAAUCUCAUGGUCAUGAACAAUGAACAUAAAGUGUGUUGAGCUUCUUUUUCCUCUGAAGAUGGUAAAAUCAAUUUCAUUGCACAAUCAGUCCGUGAAUUGCUUGCUUCUUAAUUUCUCAGUUAUGUCCAUUAUUGUUUUUUUUGUCUCCGUAAUUUUGAGCCUUUCUCCAAUUGUUUUGGUGCGCCUGUAUAUUUCUUCUUUAUAAGUUGAGUAAUGAGAGUGGUAAUGAACAAGGAAAAUAAUUGGAGCAUGCCUAUUAAGAGUUGCAGAAUCCCAAUUAUUGUACUCAAAGAGUGCAAGAUGAUAUUGAUACAAAAGAAAUAUUGCAGGUUCUCAGGGAUUAAUUAACUGAAAGUUAGACAUCAGUUGAAACUUGGAAGAGUGAUUUGGUGUAGCCUUUAUACUAAGAUCAUUAUGGAAGAGAGAGCUCAAAAAAGAAGUUAAAAACAACAAAUAAAGUCAAAACUUGUAAAGAUGGAUAACUGACCAAGUAAAUACACUCGGAUUGAAGACAAACAUAUUUGAAGAGCCAACUAUGGGAGGCGUUUCCUCCGAUUAUGUCAAUACUUUUAAGGGGAUAAUACUCUCAAGAUGAAAAGAUAAGACUAACUUCAAUACUUGGUCAAAGAAAAUAUAAUUUUCAAUAUUUUACGAAUUCUCUCUGUUGACAAAACUAAUUUAAUACUAUUAAACUUUUAGUUAAGGAAGCUUUGACGAUAACAGUUCUAUGCUAUUUGGCAAAAUAUGUGCCCGGCAAUUUAGGUAUGUUGUGCUCCUACUAUAUUACGAAACAGCUUUGUUAGAUAGUUUGUAACUGGUAUAUCCCAUUUUCAUCUGUAAUUUUUGCCCAAGAACUCUUUUGAUGCAUAAGGAUUGAUUACUGUGAGCUUCUCUGGUGUUUAUUUGUUGUUUUCAGCUUAAAUUCAACUGUUUUUUACUUUCUCUACUACUGGUAGUUGAUUUUUGAAAUUGCUUACAUUAAUGUUGUAGCUUAUCAUGGGUAUGGAAAUAUGAAAAAUUUAUAUUUCUUUAUGUGGAAGAUCCAUCUGAAGCUUAACAUUCUGUGCUAAGAUUAGUUAGCUUUGGCUUUUCCUGUCAGUGCACAUUUUGGGAUCUGAUUCACUUGUUGUUUGGAUACUGCAUAGUCACAGUAAUAUUCUACAACGGAUGGUCUUCCACUCAUUUUUAAAAAUCUGAUCUUCUCGACUUAUGUAAUACAGCGUGCUAAGAAUUUUUUUCGGAGUCUCUGAAUAUUGAGCUUGUAAACUGCCUUUGUUGACUAAUCAUAUACUUUUUGUUUGUUUCUGAGUUCUUUCUCCAUUUCUUUCCUUUUUGCAUUGCAAAUGCGAGAUAUUGCCAGUUUAGGACAUCUUAUAUAAAUUCAUUACAUAAGAUUCACUACUGUUAUGUUAUCUCACAGCGGAUGAAGGUAAAAUAGUUCUGUGGCACAUAUUCCAGAUAACUGAAGUUAAUCCACGCAUAUCUUUGUCUCUGUUGCUCACACUUCCAAUGAGUCUAUUGUACAGCCCACUGAAUACAAAUUCUUUAACGGAGUAAUAUUUACUGAGUUCCAGUUUUUUUUUUUGUUUUUUGGAACUCCUAGCAGUCUAAAUGUUUAUAUGAAACUCUUAGUUCAUUUUCUAAUUGUAAUCCGGACAUUUACAGCACUCAAAAGCACAUGUCACUGCAAUACCGUGAGAACGGGCACAUUAACAUACAAUGCCAUAGGGGUAGAUAUGUAUUAGGAUCUCCUAUUAAUUUAUGAUUAUUUCUAUUCUAACUACUUUUUCAAACAGGCCUGACCACUGCAGAGGUCUGUAUGCUUCAUAUUUUUUCUGUGUUGAUGAUUAGAACAAUACCAAGAAUGAAUAAAGAUUGGUAACAUUACAAUACACAAUAAGGAUAAAUUAUCUAUUUAUUUCCUCCACUGCAUACUCUGCUAUGAUAGGCUUGACCCAGUGCAAGGUAUGCACAUCAACGGCAUCAGCAACACUGUGCAGGUUGCGAAGCAUGAUGCUAUGGACUGGACUUGUACAAGAGGUUGGUUGAGCCUUCCAGUGGGUUUACCCAUGGAAUAUGAGAUAUACAAGUCAUCAAACACAUUGAGGACAUACGCACAGAAUUUAGGUAUUCAUGUGAAUCUCAUGAUCUUGAACAAUGAACAUACAUAGAAGUGUUGAGCCUCUUGUUUUCUGAAGAUGGUGCCUUGUGUCAAAAGUGGCUAAGAAGGAGGCUUCAACUAAGACUAAACGCCGGGAAAAAAAUGCAUUACCGAUUUGCAAUAUGUAAAUAGUCGUGGCCUGUAGAUAGUUCUCCCAUAUAUGUUGUGAAGAAUAUGUACUAUGGCAUUUACCAGUAUGAUGCAACUGUUGAUGUUAUUCCAAAAAAUGUGUGUAUAGUAUCCAUCAAAUUGUUGUUCCAGCUUUUAUAACAUUGGGCCCGAUUGAGGAAUGCACUGCUCCAUACAGUUGUGUUUAGUGAUAGUUCAUUAAAAAUUUAAAAAGGUUUCUCAUUAAAUUACCAUUUUCUUUACUA